UUCGAGUUGGGGAUAGCCCUGGGAAACCAGGAUUAAUACCCGAUGUGGUCACAACAGGACAUCCUGGUGUGAGUAAAGGCGUAAGCCGCUCGAUGACGGGCUCGCGGCCUAUUAGCUUGUUGGUGGGGUAACGGCCUACCAAGGCGAUGAUGGGUAGCUGGUCUGAGAGGACGAUCAGCCACACUGGGACUGAGACACGGCCCAGACUCCUACGGGAGGCAGCAGUUAGGAAUUUUCCGCAAUGGGCGAAAGCCUGACGGAGCAACGCCGCGUGAGUGAUGAAGACCUUCGGGUUGUAAAGCUCUGUCGGAGGGGAAGAACACAAUGACGGUACCCUCCAAGAAAGCCCCGGCUAACUACGUGCCAGCAGCCGCGGUAAUACGUAGGGGGCGAGCGUUAUCCGGAUUUACUGGGCGUAAAGCGCGUUAAGGCGGCCGACAAAGUUGGUGGUGAAAUUUCAGGGCUCAACUCUGAAACUGCCUCCAAUACUGGUUGGCUUGAGUGCGAGAGAGGAAGGUGGAAUUCCCGGUGUAGUAGUGAAAUGCGUAGAUAUCGGGAGGAACACCAGUGGCGAAGGCGGCCUUCUGGCUCGCAACUGACGCUGUAGCGCGAAAGCGUGGGGAGCGAACGGGAUUAGAUACCCCGGUAGUCCACGCCCUAAACGAUGUGCACUAGGUGUUGGGCGUAUUGACGCGCUCAGUGCCGCAGCUAACGCAUUAAGUGCACCG
rnacentral:rRNA from 1 species